ensembl:lncRNA
GGCUGCUGAAGAGUAAAAGGCGGUGGUGAACACUUCCAGGCAGAGCUCAGCCAGACGAACCAAUCGGAUGCAGCCACGGUGUCUACGAGCCAAUUGCAUCGUUGCUGUUAAACGAACUGUUCCCCCGUUCAGCAUCCCGAUCUGCAGCCGAGUUUCCUCAUUGUUUCACCCCCCCCCCGACCAGCGGAUGGACUCUGUGGGGGGUUCAGGGUCGCGGGGGGCUGGAGUCCAUCCCAGCCAACUUCGGGCGAUAGACAGGGUACAUCCUGGAUUGGUCGCCAGCCAAUCGCAGGGCAACACAGAGACACACAACCAUUCACACUCACAUUCACACAUCUACGGGCAAUUUAAAGUCCCCAAUCAACCUGAUCCCCAGAGCAUGUCUUUGGACUGUGGGAGGAAGCCGGAGAACCCGGAGAGAAC